UGUUUCGGCUAGGGGGUCAUCCCGACUUACCAACCCGAUGCAAACUACGAAUACCGAAGAAUGUUAUCACGGGAGACACACGGCGGGUGCUAACGUCCGUCGUGAAGAGGGAAACAACCCAGACCGCCAGCUAAGGUCCCAAAGUCAUGGUUAAGUGGGAAACGAUGUGGGAAGGCACAGACAGCCAGGAUGUUGGCUUAGAAGCAGCCAUCAUUUAAAGAAAGCGUAAUAGCUCACUGGUCGAGUCGGCCUGCGCGGAAGAUGUAACGGGGCUAAACCAUGCACCGAAGCUGCGGCAGCGACACUAUGUGUUGUUGGGUAGGGGAGCGUUCUGUAAGCCUGCGAAGGUGUGCUGUGAGGCAUGCUGGAGGUAUCAGAAGUGCGAAUGCUGACAUAAGUAACGAUAAAGCGGGUGAAAAGCCCGCUCGCCGGAAGACCAAGGGUUCCUGUCCAACGUUAAUCGGGGCAGGGUGAGUCGACCCCUAAGGCGAGGCCGAAAGGCGUAGUCGAUGGGAAACAGGUUAAUAUUCCUGUACUUGGUGUUACUGCGAAGGGGGGACGGAGAAGGCUAUGUUAGCCGGGCGACGGUUGUCCCG
rnacentral:rRNA from 2 species